GCUUGCCUUGCUGCUCUGCGGCAAAGGACUGAUCGGCAGGGUCGUAGAUGUACCCGGCAGCAGCGUCAGUCUCGGGGUCUACCGGUAAGAAGAGGGGGAAGAAACAAUAAAUAAUAGCAAUGGUGCAACACAAUGUAUGGCAUGGCAAGAUGCACGCUAGACAUGAGCUAAUGCAGCAACAUCCGUCAUAGACGGGUCGGAAGAAUAUCUGACGAUAUUUUCCGGGUCUCGGGCUACUACCGGUCAGACUGAAAACGAUGGAAAUGUUUCAUGUGUUGCUAUGCUAGGGACGCGUGAUAGACGAAUAGACCGUGUAUCCGGGUUCGUCUCGUUCUGCUGAUCAACUUUCAUGUUGAAAGUAUUUUCAUCUCACUUACAGAUUAAUUUAUAUUUUUUUUAAUGUUUUAAUCAUUUUCUGAAAAUCAUAGAAUUAAAUUAAUUCAAAAGAACAUAAAUGACAUCAGCAUGACAUCAUCACUACAUCAGGAGUCAACAGUGUGAGCUCACUGGUCAAACUGACUGGUGGGCCCUCCUAACGUAGACUCGGGUUUAAAUGGGGUUUUUAGUUUAAUUUAAUUAACUAAUUUAGGGGGAUGAACCCACAUGUCACUGUCUCUUUAGUCUAAACUAAAUAUCCAAUUUAAAUAACAGAUUUAAUUAAUUCUGAAAUUUGGAUGGGCCCACAUGUCAUACUUAGCUUAACUUAUCAAAAUGUUAAAUUCAUCUCGUUACUCUAAUAAAGUUAGUUAAUUAAUUAAUAAUUAUCAUACCUAUGUUAUUAUAAUUACUACUAUUCUUAUUAAAACAUUUUAAUUAGUAGAGGGGGAGCUCAAUCCCCAUUAACCAAAACAACGCGAGCGUUGGCACAACCCUCAGCGGCCAGUGGGGAGGCGGUGAUGGCCGCCGACGGGGGAAAAGGCUACUGUCGCCACGGGGAGUAGCGAGGGGCGGCGAGUGUGGGCGAUAGACGGUCGGAGGCGCCUGGGGACGGGGUCGCCGGAGUGGUAACCGAAGUGGAGGGAUAGAAGAGGGGUGGGAGGAGCCCGAGGGGGCUCACGUGCGUUGGAGCGCACGCGAGCUGCGAGGCUUGACGAAGCCGGCAGAGGAGAGGUCGAGGCGGUGCCCAUCGUGGCCGGCGGCGACCGGCGGAAUGGCCCGGAUCGACCGGGUCGAGGGAAGCCUCCAGGGGAGAGGGUGCCGGCGGGGAGGGUGUAGGGGCGACGGGAACCCCGGGGCGGCGGCCGACGCGGUUGCCGAUGAUUGAUGGCGGGGCGAGAGGGCGCACGGGCGCCGGUUGCUGAGAAGGGGUCGGCCCGGUCGCGCCUGGCGUGGGGAGGGGUCGGCUGCCGGAUCCGGAGGGGGGAGGUCGCCGGCGGGAUGGGAAGGGAGAUCCGGGGG
rnacentral:lncRNA from 1 species